rnacentral:lncRNA from 1 species
GAGUAAAGAUUUCAUUUUUUCUUUCUUUUUCUUGAUUUUCUUUUCAGAACAUGCCUAAAGAAGAAGUAUGUUUUUCAGGACUUCAUUUGUACAAUAGGGUCCUCUCAGGAGUGUUGAAGCCUCUGGUGAAGAGAAAAGAACUAAGGAUUUCAUUUCAGCAGCUCCAGUUCUAA